GCCUCCCUCGCCGCCAUCAGACUCCUACGGGGGCAGGCAGUGGGGAAUCGUUGCGCAAUGCGCGAAAGCGUGACGCAGCAACGCCGCGUGGGGGAAGACGGGCCUUCGGGUUGUAAACCCCGUUUCAACGUUUGGGACGAAGCUCUGCCGGUGAAUAGCCGGUUAGAGUGACGGUACCUUCAGAAGAAGCCCCGGCUAACCCACGUGCCAGCCGCCGCGGUAAUAC
rnacentral:rRNA from 1 species